rnacentral:rRNA from 1 species
UAAAGCGAUUCAGCGGGUUACGAUUGACGGAGCGAAGCGACGUCAAAGCGUAUACAAAGUCGAGUCGGUUUAAGGAUACGUUCGUUGGGUAGGGGAGCGUUCUGUAAGCCCGUGAAGGUGGCCUGUGAGGGUUGCUGGAGGUAUCAGAAGUGCGAAUGCUGACAUAAGUAACGAUAAAGCGGGUGAAAAGCCCGCUCGCCGGAAGACCAAGGGUUCCUGUCCAACGUUAAUCGGGGCAGGGUGAGUCGACCCCUAAGGCGAGGCCGAAAGGCGUAGUCGAUGGGAAACGGGUUAAUAUUCCCGUACUUGGUGUUACUGCGAAGGGGGGACGGAGAAGGCUAUGUUGGCCGGGCGACGGUUGUCCCGGUUUAAGCGUGUAGGUGUGUGUUCCAGGUAAAUCCGGUUCACUUUAACACUGAGGCGUGACGACGAGGCACUACGGUGCUGAAGCAACAAAUGCCCUGCUUCCAGGAAAAGCCUCUAAGCAUCAGGUAACAUCAAAUCGUACCCCAAACCGACACAGGUGGUCAGGUAGAGAAUACCAAGGCGCUUGAGAGAACUCGGGUGAAGGAACUAGGCAAAAUGGUGCCGUAACUUCGGGAGAAGGCACGCUGACACGUAGGUGAAGUGAUUUACUCAUGGAGCUGAAGUCAGUCGAAGAUACCAGCUGGCUGCAACUGUUUAUUAAAAACACAGCACUGUGCAAACACGAAAGUGGACGUAUACGGUGUGACGCCUGCCCGGUGCCGGAA